rnacentral:rRNA from 1 species
AGUGAACGCUGGCGGUAGGCCUAACACAUGCAAGUCGAACGACAGCACAGUAAGUGCUUGCUCUUACGGGUGGCGAGUGGGGGACGGGUGAGGAAUACAUCGUAAUCUACUUUUUCGUGGGGGCCAACGUAGGGAAACUUACGCUAAUACCGCAUACGACCUACGGGUGGAAGCAGGGGAUCUUUUGACCUUGCGCGAAUGAAUGAGCCGAUGUCGGUUUGGCUAGUUGGCGGGGUAAACGACCACCAGGGCGGCGAUCCGUCGCUGGUGGGGGAGGAUGAUCAGCCACACUGGAACGGAGACGGGGUCCAGACUACUGCGAGAGGCAGCAGUGGGGAAUAUUAGGCAAUGGGGGCAAGCCUGAUCCAGCCAUACCGCGUGUGUGAAGGAGGCCUUCGGGUUGUGAAGCCCUUUUGUUGGGAAAGAAAAGCAGCAGGUUAAGACGCCGCGGUUGUGACGGUACCCGGAGAAUAAGCACCGGCUAACUUCGUG